AUUGAACGCUGGCGGCAUGCUUUACACAUGCAAGUCGAACGGCAGCGCGGGGCAACCUGGCGGCGAGUGGCGAACGGGUGAGUAAUAUAUCGGAACGUACCCAAGAGUGGGGGAUAACGUAGCGAAAGUUACGCCAAUACCGCAUACGAUCUAAGGAUGAAAGUGGGGGAUCUUCGGACCUCAUGCUCCUGGAGCGGCCGAUAUCUGAUUAGCUAGUUGGUAGGGUAAAGGCCUACCAAGGCUACGAUCAGUAGCUGGUCUGAGAGGACGACCAGCCACACUGGAACUGAGACACGGUCCAGACUCCUACGGGAGGCAGCAGUGGGGAAUUUUGGACAAUGGGCGUAAGCCUGAUCCAGCAAUGCCGCGUGAGUGAAGAAGGCCUUCGGGUUGUAAAGCUCUUUUGUCAGGGAAGAAACGGCUGAGGUUAAUACCUUUGGCUAAUGACGGUACCUGAAGAAUAAGCACCGGCUAACUACGUG
rnacentral:rRNA from 1 species